rnacentral:rRNA from 1 species
UACGUAGGGUGCAAGCGUUUAAUCGGAAUUACUGGGCGUAAAGCGUGCGCAGGCGGUGAUGUAAGACAGUUGUGAAAGCCCCGGGCUCAACCUGGGAAUGGCAUUGGAAACUGGCGAGCUAGAGUGUGGCAGAGGGGGGUGGAAUUCCGCGUGUAGCAGUGAAAUGCGUAGAGGAUGCGGAGGAACACCGAUGGCGAAGGCAGCCCCCUGGGCCAAUACUGACGCUCAUGCACGAAAGCGUGGGAGCAACAGG